GACGAACCGGACGAACGUUAUUCGGAAUUACUGGGCUUAAAGGGUUCGUAGGCGGCCUUGUAAGUGAGAUGUGAAAUCCCUCGGCUCAACCGAGGAAGUGCAUUUCAUACUGCAAGGCUUGAGGGAGACAGAGGUAAGCGGAACUGAUGGUGGAGCGGUGAAAUGCGUUGAUAUCAUCAGGAACACCGGUGGCGAAAGCGGCUUACUGGGUCUCUUCUGACGCUGAGGAACGAAAGCUAGGGGAGCGAACGGGAUUAGAAACCUCA
rnacentral:rRNA from 1 species